GCUGAUGUUGCGCAGGGAUUUUGCAGAAGCAGUGCAUGUUUCUAACAGCUUUAUACGAUAUACUCACAAUUUCAUGUACUGUCAUUUUAUUAUAAUACAGUUAUAUAUUAUAAGUUAUCCAUGAAGGGUUUCAUUGACUGCCACUGCCACAUCUCUGCCGGAGAUUUCGACCAGGACAUAGAAGAAGUGAUUGAGAAUUCUAAGACAGCCGGGCUUCUAGCAAUAGUUGCAGUAGCAGAACAUGCUGGCGAGUUUGAAAAGAUAAUACAUCUGUCACAGAGGUUCCCAGGUUUUAUUUUCCCUUGUUUGGGAGUCCAUCCUGUACAAGGGUCAGCUCCAGAGCCGCAGAGAGGCGCCUUACUCCAGGAUUUAGAUGCUGCUUUGCCCCUGAUCGAGAAAUAUAAAGAACAUCUUAUUGCUAUUGGCGAGGUAGGCUUGGAUUUCACUCCGAGAUUUGUCAACAGUGACACGGACAAAGAUAGUCAAAGACAAGUACUUAUUCGACAGGCAGAGAUCGCCAAACAACUGGACCUUCCACUAAAUGUUCAUUCACGAUCAGCCGGCAGACCUACCAUCCACCUCCUAAAGGAGCAAGGUGUUGAGAAAGCUCUUCUUCAUGCGUUUGAUGGAAAACCCUCAGUUGCCAUGGAGGGAGUGAAAGCAGGGUAUUUGUUCUCCAUUCCUCCUUCUAUUGUGAGAAGUGAACAGAAGCAGAAGCUGGUAAAACAGCUACCGUUGGAGAGCAUGUGUCUAGAAACCGAUUCCCCUGCCUUGGGCCCAGAGAAACAGGUGAGAAAUGAGCCAAAGAAUAUCUUCAUCUGUGCCGAGUACAUCAGUAAGAUCAAAGGUAUCCCCUUAGAGACAGUGAUUGAUGUGACAAUGCAGAACUCCCUGCGCCUGUUUCCCAGACUCAAGACAUUACUCAGAGCAUGAACCAAGAAUUCUGGGAUUUAAUACUGGGCAUGUGAACAGGACACAUCCUAUCAAAGGCUAUUCAGCAUUCUGCUCUAUAAGACGCCUUGGGCGGAAUCUGUGAAGUCCUUGAAAAUCAGAACCAGUAUUACCUUGUUGGUGUGUCAGCUUGGGUUAGGAGAGCCAAUGACUGAAAGCCUUACAAACUGAGGAGGAUUUAAGCCUUUCAACACCAAACAGCAAUCAGAAUGUUAGUGAAUACCUGUUUGAGGAGUUUUCCCACAGAAGUGCUACACCAGGAACAAAGUGAUGGGACAACCUGGAGAAACCCAUAAAAACCUAUUAGUGGCUGCACAUUGAAAACUUAUGAAAACUACAGUAGGUCUGCAUUAUUUUGAGUGUAUAUUUUACUUUUCAAGUAUGACAAAAUAGCUAUGGCUAUGAUAGCCUUUUUAAAGAACUCCAAGCCUGUUGUAGUACUAUGUUACAUUCAAUCUAAAUGGUAUUCUUCCAGUCAUAAUGGAUGAAAGCAUUGACAAAAUCCAUGCCGGACUGCUGCAAAAUAUACAUGGACCCUAGAUAUAGGUCUGGGUUCGCCGUUAAUUCCCAUCAUGACGUUAUUCAAUCUCUGACCGCUACAGUUUCGUUUCAACCACCUUAACAACAGAGUGGUCAGUCUGUGGGGUCCUGGCAUCGUGUGCAGUAAACCAUCUCCUCUGAAUACUGUUCCACCUGGAUGGUGAGACUGGCGAAACCAAACUCUGACUGGAGCAUCUUGGUGGACUCCAUGAGUACCAGCUGGGGAUUGGCAUCUUUGUCUAGAUAACAAAACCCAAACAAUAUGGACUGUAAGAUAUUUAGGCACAACAGUGGAGACAGAGUACCACAGUAUAGAUGGAGACACUGGAUAAACAACCAAGAGAAUAUUCGGUCUCAGCCACAGAAUAAGGUACAUACACAGUAUUUCAGUGUGUGUUAGUCUACGUUGGUCUUCUGCCUACCUAUAGCUACGUGUACAGAGAGCUGUGACUGACUCAUGGUGAGGGCCCAAAUAUGGAGGUUGUGUGUAGCUUUAACACCUCUCAGCGACAGAAGCAUGUCUCUCACAGCAUUGAAGUCAAUACCUUUAGGAACCCCUGUAGAAUUCAGUUAUGUACAUGAACGUUACUGAAAGACAUAAAAAGAGAUGCAAUUAACAUACAGAUACCCUUUAGAAGUCCAUGGACAUAAUUAUAAAGUGCACCUGGAGCCUCUCUGAUUAAAUAAAGGAUCAAGGAAAAAUAACACAUAAUAUAGUAUUUUAUUAU